GGUUGACCUCGGAUUCCAGGUAGGAACCCAUU
rnacentral:rRNA from 1 species